AUUGAACGCUGGCGGCAGGCCUAACACAUGCAAGUCGAACGGUAACAGGAAGCAGCUUGCUGCUUUGCUGACGAGUGGCGGACGGGUGAGUAAUGUCUGGGAAACUGCCUGAUGGAGGGGGAUAACUACUGGAAACGGUAGCUAAUACCGCAUAACGUCGCAAGACCAAAGAGGGGGACCUUAGGGCCUCUUGCCAUCGGAUGUGCCCAGAUGGGAUUAGCUAGUAGGUGGGGUAACGGCUCACCUAGGCGACGAUCCCUAGCUGGUCUGAGAGGAUGACCAGCCACACUGGAACUGAGACACGGUCCAGACUCCUACGGGAGGCAGCAGUGGGGAAUAUUGCACAAUGGGCGCAAGCCCGAUGCAGCCAUGCCGCGUGUAUGAAGAAGGCCUUCGGGUUGUAAAGUACUUUCAGCGGGGAGGAAGGGAGUAAAGUUAAUACCUUUGCUCAUUGACGUUACCCGCAGAAGAAGCACCGGCUAACUCCGUG
rnacentral:rRNA from 1 species